rnacentral:rRNA from 1 species
ACGCUCGACACCUACGGGAGGAGCAGUAGGGAAUCUUCCACAAUGGGCGCAAGCCUGAUGGAGCAACACCGCGUGAGUGAAGAAGGGUUUCGGCUCGUAAAGCUCUGUUGUUGGAGAAGAACGUGCGUGAGAGUAACUGUUCACGCAGUGACGGUAUCCAACCAGAAAGUCACGGCUAACUACGUGUCAGCAGCCGCGGUAAUCUGAGCGGGCUGGCAAGGC